GAUGAACGCUAGCGGCAGGCUUAAUACAUGCAAGUCGAGGGACAGCACAGGUAGCAAUACUGGGUGGUAACCGGCAAACGGGUGCGGAACACGUACACAACCUUCCUUUAAGUGGGGGAUAGCCCAGAGAAAUUUGGAUUAAUACCCCGUAAUAUAGUUGAAUGGCAUCAUUUGAUUAUUAUAGCUACGGCGCUUAAUGAUGGGUGUGCGGCUGAUUAGAUAGUUGGCGGGGUAACGGCCCACCAAGUCUACGAUCAGUAGCUGAUGUGAGAGCAUGAUCAGCCACACGGGCACUGAGACACGGGCCCGACUCCUACGGGAGGCAGCAGUAAGGAAUAUUGGUCAAUGGACGCAAGUCUGAACCAGCCAUGCCGCGUGAAGGAUUAAGGUCCUCUGGAUUGUAAACUUCUUUUAUUUGGGACGAAAAAGGGCCUUUCUAGGUCAACUGACGGUACCAGAUGAAUAAGCACCGGCUAACUCCGUGCCAGCAGCCGCCGCCGUAA
rnacentral:rRNA from 1 species